rnacentral:misc_RNA from 1 species
UUUCAUUCAUGCGGUGGAGCGGUCAAUAGCGGGCAUAGAGAAAAAGACUGCCAAGUUGCAAGGAAAUGAGAAGGCUGUGGUUGCACGUCAUGAAGUUGGUCAUGCAGUAGUAGGUACUGCUGUUGCUAACAUCCUUCCUAGACAACCACGUGUUGAGAAGUUAAGCAUAUUGCCAAGAUCAGGAGGGGCAUUAGGCUUUACUUAUACACCUCCAACAAAUGAGGACAGAUAUUUGCUCUUCAUUGAUGAGUUACGUGGUCGUUUGGUUACUCUUCUUGGAGGACGAGCAGCAGAAGAAGUUGUGUAUUCAGGUCGUGUCUCAACAGGUGCACUGGAUGAUAUUCGACGAGCUACUGACAUGGCAUAUAAGGCAGUAGCAGAAUAUGGUCUUAAUCAGACGAUAGGUCCCAUUUCUCUAGCAACGCUUUCUGGAGGUGGGAUGGAUGAGUCUGGAGUUGCUCCAUGGGGAAGGGAUCAGGGCCAUCUUGUUGAUCUUGUUCAAA